UACCCACUCCUAGAUCGGGGAGGUAGUGACGAAAAAUAACAAUACCGGACUCUAUGAGGCUCGGUAAUUGAAAUGAGUACAGUUUAAAAGCCUUAACGAGGAUCUAUUGGAGAGCAAGUCUGGUGCCAGCAGCCGCGGUAAUUCCAGCUCCAAUAGCGUAUAUUAAAGUUGUUGCAGUUAAAAAGCUCGUAGUUGGAUCUCGGGUACUAGCAUUCGGUACGCUUAAUUGCUGUUACUGUUUGUCUAGUCCUAAUCAAUCGGUUGGCCAUUUAUGCCCUUUAUUGGGUGUUUUUGGUAGCCGAUACGUUUACUUUGAGAAAAUUAGAGUGCUUAAAGCAGGCUUUACGCCUGAAUAAUGUUGCAUGGAAUAAUAGAAUAGGACCUCGGUUCUAUUUUGUUGGCUUUGUAGAGCAUUGAGGUAAUGAUUAAUAGGGACAGACGGGGGCAUUCGUACUGCGGUGUUAGAGGUGAAAUUCUUGGAUCGCCGCAGGACGAACAACUGCGAAAGCAUUUGCCAAGAAUGUUUUCAUUAAUCAAGAACGAAAGUUGGAGGUUCGAAGACGAUUAGAUACCGUCCUAGUUCCAACCAUAAACGAUGCCAACUAGCGAUUAGCUGCUGUUAAUUAAACGACACAGCUAGCAGCUUCCGGGAAACCAAAGUUUUUGGGUUCCGGGGGAAGUAUGGUUGCAAAGCUGAAACUUAAAGGAAUUGACGGAAGGGCACCACCAGGAGUGGAGCCUGCGGCUUAAUUUGACCCAACACGGGAAAUCUCACCCGGCCCGGACACUGUAAGGAUUGACAGAUUGAGAGCUCUUUCUUGAUUCGGUGGGUGGUGGUGCAUGGCCGUUCUUAGUUGGUGGAGCGACUUGUCUGGUUAAUUCCGAUAACGAACGAGACUCUAGCCUGCUAAAUAGUACGCCGAUCUUUAGUCGGCGCGUACUUCUUAGAGGGACAAGUAGCGGUUAGCUACACGAAAUUGAGCAAUAACAGGUCUGUGAUGCCCUUAGAUGUUCGGGGCCGCACGCGCGCUACACUGAAGGGAUAAGCGUGUUCUUCCUGCUCCGAAAGGAGUGGGUAACCCGCUGAAACCCCUUCGUGAUUGGGAUCGGGGCUUGCAAUUAUUCUCCGUGAACGAGGAAUUCCCAGUAAGCGCGAGUCAUAAGCUCGCGUUGAUUACGUCCCUGCCCUUUGUACACACCGCCCGUCGCUACUACCGAUUGAAUGGUUUAGUGAGAUCCUCGGAUUUGUCCGGAAGUGGCCGCAAGGUUGCCUCUAGGUUCGGAGAAGACGAUCAAACUUGA
rnacentral:rRNA from 1 species